AGAGUUUGAUCCUGGCUCAGAACGAACGCUGGCGGCAGGCUUAACACAUGCAAGUCGAACGCCCCGCAAGGGGAGUGGCAGACGGGUGAGUAACGCGUGGGAAUCUACCUAGAACUACGGAACAACUGAUGGAAACGUCAGCUAAUACCGUAUACCCUACGGGGAAAGAUUUAUCGGUUUUAGAUGAGCCCGCGUAAGAUUAGCUAGUUGGUGAGGUAAUGGCUCACCAAGGCGACGAUCUUUAGCUGGUCUGAGAGGAUGAUCAGCCACACUGGGACUGAGACACGGCCCAGACUCCUACGGGAGGCAGCAGUGGGGAAUAUUGGACAAUGGGCGCAAGCCUGAUCCAGCCAUGCCGCGUGAGUGAUGAAGGCCUUAGGGUUGUAAAGCUCUUUCAGUGGGGAAGAUAAUGACGGUACCCACAGAAGAAGCCCCGGCUACUUCGUGCCAGCAGCCGCGGUAAUACGAAGGGGGCUAGCGUUGUUCGGAUUUACUGGGCGUAAAGCGCACGUAGGCGGAUUGUUAAGUCAGGGGUGAAAUCCUGGAGCUCAACUCCAGAACUGCCUUUGAUACUGGCAAUCUCGAGUCCGGAAGAGGUAAGUGGAACUCCUAGUGUAGAGGUGGAAUUCGUAGAUAUUAGGAAGAACACCAGUGGCGAAGGCGGCUUACUGGUCCGGUACUGACGCUGAGGUGCGAAAGCGUGGGGAGCAAACAGGAUUAGAUACCCUAGUAGUCC
rnacentral:rRNA from 1 species